rnacentral:rRNA from 1 species
CCUACGGGUGGCAGCAGUGAGGAAUAUUGGUCAAUGGCCGCAGGGCUGAACCAGCCAAGUCGCGUGAGGGAUGACGGCCCUAUGGAUUGUAAACCUCUUUUGUCAGGGAGCAAAGGGAGUCACGUGUGACGCAUUGCGAGUACCCGAAGAAAAAGCAUCGGCUAACUCCGUGCCAGCAGCCGCGGUAAUACGGAGGAUGCGAGCGUUAUCCGGAUUUAUUGGGUUUAAAGGGUGCGCAGGCGGAGGGGCAAGUCAGCGGUAAAAUUUCGGGGCUCAACCCCGUACUGCCGUUGAAACUGGCGUCCUUGAGUGCGCGAGAAGUAUGCGGAAUGCGUGGUGUAGCGGUGAAAUGCAUAGAUAUCACGCAGAACUCCGAUUGCGAAGGCAGCAUACCGGCGCUCAACUGACGCUCAUGCACGAAAGCGUGGGUAUCGAACAGGAUUAGAUACCCUAGUAGUC